rnacentral:rRNA from 1 species
CCUACGGGAGGCAGCAGUGGGGGAUAUUGCACAAUGGGGGAAACCCUGAUGCAGCGACGCCGCGUGAGUGAAGAAGUGUUUCGGUACGUAAAGCUCUAUCAGCAGGGAAGAAAAUGACGGUACCUGACUAAGAAGCCCCGGCUAACUACGUGCCAGCAGCCGCGGUAAUACGUAGGGGGCAAGCGUUAUCCGGAUUUACUGGGUGUAAAGGGGGCGUAGACGGCAGCGCAAGUCUGGAGUGAAAUCCCAUGGCUUAACCAUGGAACUGCUUUGGAAACUGUGCAGCUGGAGUGCAGGAGAGGUAAGCGGAAUGCCUGGUGUAGCGGUGAAAUGCGUAGAUAUCAGGAGGAACACCAGUGGCGAAGGCGGCCUACUGGACUGUAACUGACGUUGAGGCUCGAAAGCGUGGGGAGCAAACAGGAUUAGAUACCCGAGUAGUC